UUCUUGAAUAUGUCCCCGAGACCGUUCAUAGAGUGAUCAAACAUUAUAACAAGAUGAACCAAAGGAUGCCACUGAUAUACGUUAAACUCUACUUUUAUCAGAUCUGCAGAGCUCUUUCAUACAUUCAUAAUAGUAUUGGAGUUUGCCACAGAGACAUAAAGCCUCAAAACUUACUGGUUAAUCCACACACCCACCAACUCAAGCUUUGUGACUUUGGCAGCGCAAAAGUCUUGGUUAGAGGCGAACCAAAUAUAGCUUACAUUUGUUCUAGAUACUAUCGA
rnacentral:misc_RNA from 1 species